GAUGAAGAACGUAGCGAAAUGCGAUAAGUAAUGUGAAUUGCAGAAUUCAGUGAAUCAUCGAGUCUUUGAACGCACAUUGCGCCCCCUGGUAUUCCGGGGGGCAUGCCUGUCCGAGCGUCAUUGCUGCCCUCAAGCACGGCUUGUGUGUUGGGCUUCCGUCCCUGGCAACGGGGACGGGCCCAAAAGGCAGUGGCGGCACCAUGUCUGGUCCUCGAGCGUAUGGGGCUUUGUCACCCGCUCCCGUAGGUCCAGCUGGCAGCUAGCCUCGCAACCAAUCUUUUUAACCAGGUUGACCUCGGAUCAGGUAGGGAUACCCGCUGAACUUAAGCAUAUCAAUAGCGGAGGA
rnacentral:misc_RNA from 1 species